CGGGGGGGGCGUGCUAUACAUGCAAGUCGAGCGAACUUUUGGGAGCUUGCUCCCAAAGGUUAGCGGCGGACGGGUGAGUAACACGUGGGCAACCUGCCUAUAAGACUGGGAUAACUUCGGGAAACCGGAGCUAAUACCGGAUAACAUAUGAGACCACAUGGUCUCAUAUUAAAAGAUGGCUUUUAGCUAUCACUUAUAGAUGGGCCCGCGGCGCAUUAGCUAGUUGGUGAGGUAAUGGCUCACCAAGGCGACGAUGCGUAGCCGACCUGAGAGGGUGAUCGGCCACACUGGGACUGAGACACGGCCCAGACUCCUACGGGAGGCAGCAGUAGGGAAUCUUCCGCAAUGGACGAAAGUCUGACGGAGCAACGCCGCGUGAGCGAAGAAGGUCUUCGGAUCGUAAAGCUCUGUUGUUAGGGAAGAACAAGUACCGUUCAAAUAGGGCGGUACCUUGACGGUACCUAACCAGAAAGCCACGGCUAACUACGUGCCAGCAGCCGCGGUAAUACGUAGGUGGCAAGCGUUAUCCGGAAUUAUUGGGCGUAAAGCGCGCGCAGGCGGUCCUUUAAGUCUGAUGUGAAAGCCCACGGCUCAACCGUGGAGGGUCAUUGGAAACUGGGGGACUUGAGUGCAGAAGAGGAGAGCGGAAUUCCACGUGUAGCGGUGAAAUGCGUAGAGAUGUGGAGGAACACCAGUGGCGAAGGCGGCUCUCUGGUCUGUAACUGACGCUGAGGCGCGAAAGCGUGGGGAGCGAACAGGAUUAGAUACCCUGGUAGUCCACGCCGUAAACGAUGAGUGCUAAGUGUUAGAGGGUUUCCGCCCUUUAGUGCUGCAGCAAACGCAUUAAGCACUCCGCCUGGGGAGUACGGUCGCAAGACUGAAACUCAAAGGAAUUGACGGGGGCCCGCACAAGCGGUGGAGCAUGUGGUUUAAUUCGAAGCAACGCGAAGAACCUUACCAGGUCUUGACAUCCCGUGACAACUCUAGAGAUAGGGCUUUCCCCUUCGGGGGACACGGUGACAGGUGGUGCAUGGGUUGUCGUCAGCUCGUGUCGUGAGAUGUUGGGUUAGGUCCCGCAACGAGCCGCAACCCUUGAUCUUAGUUGCCAGCAUUCAGUUGGGCACUUCUAAAGGUGGACU
rnacentral:rRNA from 1 species